rnacentral:rRNA from 1 species
UGGGGAAUUGUUCGCAAUGGGCGCAAGCCUGACGACGCAACGCCGCGUGGAGGAUGAAGAUCUUCGGGUCGUAAACUCCUUUCGAUCGAGACGAAUGACUUCCGGGUGAACAAUCCGGAGGAAUGACGGUACCGAGAGAAGAAGCCCCGGCUAACUCCGUGCCAGCAGCCGCGGUAAUACGGGGGGGGCAAGCGUUGUCCGGAAUUAUUGGGCGUAAAGAGCGUGUAGGCGGUUCGGUAAGUCUGUCGUGAAAACCUGAGGCUCAACCUCGGGCGUGCGAUGGAUACUGCCGGGCUAGAGGAUGGUAGAGGCGAGUGGAAUUCCCGGUGUAGCGGUGAAAUGCGCAGAUAUCGGGAGGAACACCAGUAGCGAAGGCGGCUCGCUGGGCCAUUCCUGACGCUGAGACGCGAAAGCUAGGGGAGCGAA